rnacentral:rRNA from 1 species
UACGGAGGGGGCUAGCGUUGUUCGGAAUCACUGGGCGUAAAGCGCGCGUAGGUGGCUAUGUAAGUUAGGAGUGAAAUCCCAGGGCUUAACCCUGGAAUUGCUUUUAAAACUGCGUAGCUCGAGAAUGGUAGAGGGAAGUGGAAUUCUUAGUGUAGCGGUGAAAUGCGUAGAUAUUAAGAGGAACACCGGAGGCGAAGGCGGCUUCCUGGGCCAUUUCUGACACUGAGGCGCGAAAGCGUGGGGAGCAAACAGG